CAAGCGGUGGAGCAUGUGGUUUUAAUUCGACGCAACGCGAAGAACCUUACCAGCUCUUGUACAUGUCAGGUCGGUUUCCAGAGAUGGAUUCCUCCCAGCAAUGGGCCUGAACACAGGUGCUGCAUGGCUGUCGUCAGCUCGUGUCGUGAGAUGUUGGGUUAAGUCCCGCAACGAGCGCAACCCUUGUCCUGUGUUGCUAAUCUUCGGAUGCACUCUCAGGAGACCGCCAGCGACAAGCUGGAGGAAGGUGGGGAUGACGUCAAGUCAGCAUGGCCUUUAUGUCCAGGGCUACACACGUGCUACAAUGGGCAGGACAAACCGUUGCAAACCCGCGAGGGGAGCUAAUCGGAGAAACCUGUUCUCAGUUCGGAUUGCAGGCUGCAACUCGCCUGCAUGAAGCUGGAAUCGCUAGUAAUCGAGGAUCAGCAUGCCUCGGUGAAUACGUUCCCGGGCCUU
rnacentral:rRNA from 1 species